rnacentral:rRNA from 1 species
GAACGCUAGCGGCAGGCCUAAUACAUGCAAGUCGAACGCUCAGUAGCAAUACUGGGAGUGGCGCACGGGUGCGUAACGCGUACACAAUCUACCUCUAAGCGGGGGGACACCUCCUGGAAACGGGGAUUAAUACCGCAUAAUAUGCCGAAGUCGCAUGACUUUGGUAUUAAAGCAGCAAUGCACUUAGAGAUGAGUGUGCGUCCCAUUAGGUAGUUGGUGAGGUAACGGCUCACCAAGCCUAUGAUGGGUAGCCGGUCUGAGAGGAUGGUCGGCCACACGGGCACUGAGACACGGGCCCGACUCCUACGGGAGGCAGCAGUAAGGAAUAUUGGUCAAUGGUGGAAACACUGAACCAGCCAUGCCGCGUGGAGGAAUAAGGUCCUACGGAUUGUAAACUCCUUUUGACGAGGAAGAAAAUGUUAGAUUUAUCUAAUUUUGACGGUACUCGUAGAGUAAGCACCGGCUAACUCCGUG